AGAGUUUGAUCCUGGCUCAGGAUGAACGCUGGCGGCGUGCCUAACACAUGCAAGUCGAGCGAACCCUUCGGGGUGAGCGGCGGACGGGUGAGUAACGCGUGGGUAACCUGCCCUAUACACACGGAUAACGUACCGAAAGGUACGCUAAUACGAGAUAAUAUAUUUUUAUCGCAUGGUAGAAAUAUCAAAGCUCCGGCGGUAUAGGAUGGACCCGCGUCUGAUUAGCUAGUUGGUAAGGUAAUGGCUUACCAAGGCGACGAUCAGUAGCCGACCUGAGAGGGUGAUCGGCCACAUUGGAACUGAGACACGGUCCAAACUCCUACGGGAGGCAGCAGUGGGGAAUAUUGCACAAUGGGCGAAAGCCUGAUGCAGCAACGCCGCGUGAGCGAUGAAGGCCUUCGGGUCGUAAAGCUCUGUCCUCAAGGAAGAUAAUGACGGUACUUGAGGAGGAAGCCCCGGCUAACUACGUGCCAGCAGCCGCGGUAAUACGUAGGGGGCUAGCGUUAUCCGGAAUUACUGGGCGUAAAGGGUGCGUAGGUGGUUUCUUAAGUCAGAGGUGAAAGGCUACGGCUCAACCGUAGUAAGCCUUUGAAACUGAGAAACUUGAGUGCAGGAGAGGAGAGUAGAAUUCCUAGUGUAGCGGUGAAAUGCGUAGAUAUUAGGAGGAAUACCAGUUGCGAAGGCGGCUCUCUGGACUGUAACUGACACUGAGGCACGAAAGCGUGGGGAGCAAACAGGAUUAGAUACCCUGGUAGUCCACGCCGUAAACGAUGAGUACUAGCUGUCGGAGGUUACCCCCUUCGGUGGCGCAGCUAACGCAUUAAGUACUCCGCCUGGGAAGUACGCUCGCAAGAGUGAAACUCAAAGGGAUUGACGGG
rnacentral:rRNA from 1 species